rnacentral:rRNA from 1 species
UACGUAGGGGGCAAGCGUUGUCCGGAUUUAUUGGGCGUAAAGAGCUCGUAGGCGGCUUGUCGCGUCGGAUGUGAAAGCCCGGGGCUUAACUCCGGGUCUGCAUUCGAUACGGGCAGGCUAGAGUUCGGUAGGGGAGAUCGGAAUUCCUGGUGUAGCGGUGAAAUGCGCAGAUAUCAGGAGGAACACCGGUGGCGAAGGCGGGUCUCUGGGCCGAUACUGACGCUGAGGAGCGAAAGCUAGGGGAGCAAACGGG